rnacentral:tRNA from 1 species
AGGGAUUUAGCUCAGUGGUAGAGCGUUUGCCUAGCAAGCGCAAGGCCCUGGGUUCGGUCCCCAGCUCUG